GACGUAGGGUCCAAGCGUUAUCCGGAUUUACUGGGCGUAAAGCGCGUGUAGGCGGUCCGGUAAGUCCGCUGUGAAAGUCGGGGGGCUCAACCCUCGGAUGCCGGUGGAUACUGUCGGGCUUGAGUACGGAAGAGGCGAGUGGAAUUCCUGGUGUAGCGGUGAAAUGCGCAGAUAUCAGGAGAAACACCAAUUGCGAAGGCAGCUCGCUGGGACGUUACUGACGCUGAGACGCGAAAGCGUGGGGAGCAAACAGG
rnacentral:rRNA from 1 species